rnacentral:rRNA from 1 species
AUAGGGGAGCCGAAGGGAAACCGAGUCUUAACUGGGCGUUAAGUUGCAGGGUAUAGACCCGAAACCCGGUGAUCUAGCCAUGGGCAGGUUGAAGGUUGGGUAACACUAACUGGAGGACCGAACCGACUAAUGUUGAAAAAUUAGCGGAUGACCUGUGGCUGGGGGUGAAAGGCCAAUCAAACCGGGAGAUAGCUGGUUCUCCCCGAAAGCUAUUUAGGUAGCGCCUCGUGAAUUCAUCUCCGGGGGUAGAGCACUGUUUCGGCUAGGGGGCCAUCCCGGCUUACCAACCCGAUGCAAACUGCGAAUACCGGAGAAUGUUAUCACGGGAGACACACGGCGGGUGCUAACGUCCGUCGUGAAGAGGGAAACAACCCAGACCGCCAGCUAAGGUCCCAAAGUCAUGGUUAAGUGGGAAACGAUGUGGGAAGGCCCAGACAGCCAGGAUGUUGGCUUAGAAGCAGCCAUCAUUUAAAGAAAGCGUAAUAGCUCACUGGUCGAGUCGGCCUGCGCGGAAGAUGUAACGGGGCUAAACCAUGCACCGAAGCUGCGGCAGCGACACUAUGUGUUGUUGGGUAGGGGAGCGUUCUGUAAGCCGUUGAAGGUGGCCUGUGAGGGUUGCUGGAGGUAUCAGAAGUGCGAAUGCUGACAUAAGUAACGAUAAAGCGGGUGAAAAGCCCGCUCGCCGGAAGACCAAGGGUUCCUGUCCAACGUUAAUCGGGGCAGGGUGAGUCGACCCCUAAGGCGAGGCCGAAAGGCGUAGUCGAUGGGAAACAGGUUAAUAUUCCUGUACUUGGUGUUACUGCGAAGGGGGGACGGAGAAGGCUAUGUCGGCCGGGCGACGGUUGUCCCGGUUUAAGCGUGUAGGUGUGUGCUCCAGGCAAAUCCGGUGCACUUUAACACUGAGGCGUGAUGACGAGGCACUACGGUGCUGAAGUGACAAAUGCCCUGCUUCCAGGAAAAGCCUCUAAGCAUCAGGUAACACGAAAUCGUACCCCAAACCGACACAGGUGGUCAGGUAGAGAAUACCAAGGCGCUUGAGAGAACUCGGGUGAAGGAACUAGGCAAAAUGGUGCCGUAACUUCGGGAGAAGGCACGCUGAUAUGUAGGUGAAGUGACUUGCUCAUGGAGCUGAAAUCAGUCGAAGAUACCAGCUGGCUGCAACUGUUUAUUAAAAACACAGCACUGUGCAAACACGAAAGUGGACGUAUACGGUGUGACGCCUGCCCGGUGCCGGAAGGUUAAUUGAUGGGGUUAUCCCUCGGGAGAAGCUCUUGAUCGAAGCCCCGGUAAACGGCGGCCGUAACUAUAACGGUCCUAAGGUAGCGAAAUUCCUUGUCGGGUAAGUUCCGACCUGCACGAAUGGCGUAAUGAUGGCCAGGCUGUCUCCA